rnacentral:rRNA from 1 species
UACGGAGGGUGCGAGCGUUGUCCGGAAUCAUUGGGCGUAAAGGGCGCGUAAGUGGCUUCUUAAGCGUGCGGUGAAAGCCUGGGGCUCAACCCCGGGUCGGCCGUGCGAACUGGGGGGCUGGAGCACUGUAGAGGCAGGCGGAAUUCCGGGUGUAGCGGUGGAAUGCGUAGAGAUCCGGAAGAACACCGGUGGCGAAGGCGGCCUGCUGGGCAGUUGCUGACACUGAGGCGCGACAGCGUGGGGAGCAAACAGG